UACGUAGGGAGCAAGCGUUGUCCGGAAUCAUUGGGCGUAAAGCGCGCGUAGGUAGCCAUUUAAGUCCGCUGUGAAAGUCAAAGGCUCAACCUUUGAAAGCCGGUGGAUACUGGGUGGCUAGAGUACGGAAGAGGCGAGUGGAAUUCCUGGUGUAGCGGUGGAAUGCGCAGAUAUCAGGAGGAACACCAAUAGCGAAGGCAGCUCGCUGGGACGUUACUGACACUGAGGCGCGAAAGCGUGGGGAGCGAACAGG
rnacentral:rRNA from 1 species